rnacentral:rRNA from 1 species
CUACGGGGCGCUCCAGUGAGGAAUAUUGGACAAUGGAGGCAACUCUGAUCCAGCCAUGCCGCGUGCAGGAAGACGGCCCUACGGGUUGUAAACUGCUUUUAUACAGGAAGAAACGCCGCUACGUGUAGCGGUUUGACGGUACUGUACGAAUAAGGAUCGGCUAACUCCGUGCCAGCAGCCGCGGUAAUACGGAGGAUCCAAGCGUUAUCCGGAAUCAUUGGGUUUAAAGGGUCCGUAGGCGGUUUUUUAAGUCAGAGGUGAAAUCCUGCAGCUCAACUGUAGCAUUGCCUUUGAUACUGAAAGACUUGAGUUAUUGUGAAGUAGUUAGAAUGUGUAGUGUAGCGGUGAAAUGCAUAGAUAUUACACAGAAUACCGAUUGCGAAGGCAGAUUACUAACAAUAUACUGACGCUGAGGGACGAAAGCGUGGGUAGCGAACAGGAUUAGAUACCCUGGUAGUC